GACGAACGCUGGCGGCGCGCUUAACACAUGCAAGUCGAACGGAAAGGCCUGCUUUCCCUUGUGGAUUGCGGGUACUCGAGUGGCGAACGGGUGAGUAACACGUGAGUGAUCUGCCCCCAACUUGGGUAUAAGCCUGGGAAACUGGGUCUAAUUCCCGAUAGGACUGCAGGGUGGUGCCUGUGGUGGAAAACGAUUUUCUAGUGGUUGGGGAUGAGCUCGCGGCCUAUCAGCUUGUUGGUGGGGUAAUGGCCUACCAAGGCGGCGACGGGUAGCCGGCCUGGGAGGGUGGACGGCCACGUUGGGACUGAGAUGCGGCCCAGACUCCUACGGGAGGCAGCAGUGGGGGAUAUUGCACAAUGGGCGGAAGCCUGAUGCAGCGACGCCGCGUGGGGGAUGACGGCCUUCGGGUUGGAAACUCCUUUCGACCGCGAGGAAGCCACCUGGUGGGAAGGGUGGUGACGGUAGUGGUAGAAGAAGCACCGGCGAACUACGU
rnacentral:rRNA from 1 species